rnacentral:rRNA from 1 species
GACGAACGCUGGCGGCGUGCUUAACACAUGCAAGUCGAACGGCAAGGCCCUGCUUUUGUGGGGUGCUCGAGUGGCGAACGGGUGAGUAACACGUGAGUAACCUGCCCUUGACUUUGGGAUAACUUCAGGAAACUGGGGCUAAUACCGGAUAGGAGCCCCUGCUGCAUGGUGGGGGUUGGAAAGUUUCGGCGGUUGGGGAUGGACUCGCGGCUUAUCAGCUUGUUGGUGGGGUAGUGGCUUACCAAGGCUUUGACGGGUAGCCGGCCUGAGAGGGUGACCGGCCACAUUGGGACUGCGGUACGGCCCAGACUCCUACGUGAGGCAGCAGUGGGAAAUAUUGCACAAUGGGCGGAAGCCUGAGGCAGCAACGCCGCGUGCGGGAUGACGGCCUUCGGGUUGUAAACCGCUUUCGCCUGUGACGAAGCGUGAGUGACGGUAAUGAGUAAAGAAGCACCGGCUAACUACGUG